rnacentral:rRNA from 1 species
GACGAACGCUGGCGGCGUGCCUAAUACAUGCAAGUCGAGCGGACGAAUCGAAAGCUUGCUUUUGAUUCGUUAGCGGCGGACGGGUGAGUAACACGUGGGCAACCUGCCCUGUAGACGGGGAUAACACCGAGAAAUCGGUGCUAAUACCGGAUAACACGAAAUGUCGCAUGACGUUUCGUUGAAAGACGGCGCAAGCUGUCGUUACAGGAUGGGCCCGCGGCGCAUUAGCUGGUUGGUGAGGUAACGGCCCACCACGGCGACGAUGCGUAGCCGACCUGAGGGGGUGGUCGGCCACACUGGGACUGAGACCGGGCCCAGACUCCUACGGGAGGCAGCAGUAAGGAAUCUUCCGCAAUGGAGGAAAGUCUGACAGAGCAACGCCGCGUGAGCGAAGAAGGCGUUCGGGUCGUAAAGCUCUGUUGUUAGGGAAGAACAAGUAACGCAGUAACUGGCGUUACCGUGACGGUACCUAAAGAGAAAGCCACGGCUAACUACGUG